rnacentral:lncRNA from 1 species
CGGCCCCUUUUUUUAAUAAAUCUACGAUGGCUGGCUGCAAUAUGCCUCACUGUAAGUAUUGUGUGUGUGUGUGUGUGUGUGUGUGUGUGUGUGUGUGUGAGAGAGAGAGAGAGAGAGAGAGAGAGAGAGACAGAGAGAGAGACAGAGAGAGAGACAGAGAGAGAGAGAAGCUGACUUGAAUAUUACUUAGUCUGGUAGCACAUGGCAAGGUUGUGAUACUGUAGGACAUCAGUGAAGUGCUACUUAGUAAAUCUUAACCUAUCUCUUUUUUCUACAGGUUGGUACUAAGAAGUGCCUUUCCUGACGUCUCUGCUGCUUGGACCCGCUUCUAGAGCAGUCUCUGCUUUUGCCUUGCUUGCUGCCAGCUAGACUGUGACGACAGCACAUCCACCCUCCACUUCUAGCCCAGACACCCCCAUUUCUACUUAUAAUCAAGACAAAAGCUCUAAGUAUCUGGCAUUGCCCUAGGCUGCUUUAGUUUUAAAGGAAAAGUUUGCUGAAAAAGUCAGAUCUCUUCUGCCAGGAAAUCAAGGAGGAAAAAAAAAAUCAGUUUCUCGAUUUGCUCUAAACUGCUGCAUCUGUCUAUGCCAAACUAAUCAAUACCGAUUGCACCACCAAACUCCAUUGCAAAUUCAGCUGUGAGGAGAUUCCCUUUCAGACAACUUUGCUGAAAGCAGCUUGGAAAUUCGGUGUCAAAGGGUCUGCCACGUUUUCAUGCUUGCAUUUUGGGCUCCAAAUUGGCACUGGGAAGGGGUUACUGAGAGCACAAGGCUGAUCCGAGGCCCUACUUUUAAACGUUCAUCUACUUACGAUUCUAGUAUUUCUCUGUAAACCAAAACCUCUUGAAUUAACAGUUUCAUGCUGUGAAUUUCUAGUGGGAGAUCUUUUCCUUGAUAUUGACAACACAGUUUUCCAUGUACUUUUAAAGCAGGGAGUGGGGAAAAAAGUAUUUUGGAGGGGACAUUUUCAUCAGCCUUUUACAGUCUUAUCAGUUCAGCUUUUU